GCACUGGGACACCAGUGAGCAACACAACAGCCAGUGCGCGCGCCAUGGCCUCCCUCGCCGCCGCCGUCUCCGUGCAGCCCGUGGCCGUGAAGGGCCUCUCCGGCAGCUCCAUCUCCGGCAGGAAGCUCGCCGUCGCCAGCAGGCCGUCGUCGUCGGCCCGCGCCGCCUGCCGCUCCACCCGCAGGGCCGCCGUCGUGGCCAAGUACGGCGACAAGAGCGUCUACUUCGACCUCGAGGACAUCGGCAACACCACCGGGCAGUGGGACCUCUACGGCUCCGACGCUCCCUCGCCCUACAACCCGCUCCAGGUGAUGCUUCCAUUUCAUCCAAUUUCCUGCAGUUAUUCUUCCAUACUCUCGUAAAAGAAAUCGUUUAGGACAAUGAUAUGGGCUGUCAAACCUAACUUUAACCUCUUAUUUUUCACGUCACCAGAGCAAGUUCUUCGAGACGUUCGCGGCUCCGUUCACCAAGAGAGGCCUGCUGCUGAAGUUCCUGCUGCUGGGCGGGGGCUCCCUGCUGGCCUACGUCAGCGCGUCGGCGUCGCCGGACCUCCUGCCGAUCAAGAAGGGACCGCAGCAGCCGCCGCAGCCGGGCCCGCGCGGCAAGAUCUAAGCUCAUCGACCAGCUCCGGCCUCCAUUUGCGUUGCAUGGUCUAGUAGUAGCUUGCUUUGUACUGCUAGCUCCCGGUCGGUC
rnacentral:lncRNA from 1 species